rnacentral:rRNA from 1 species
UACGUAGGUGGCAAGCGUUGUCCGGAAUUAUUGGGCGUAAAGCGCGCGCAGGCGGUCCUUUAAGUCUGAUGUGAAAGCCCACGGCUCAACCGUGGAGGGUCAUUGGAAACUGGGGGACUUGAGCGCAGAAGAGGAGAGUGGAAUUCCACGUGUAGCGGUGAAAUGCGUAGAGAUGUGGAGGAACACCAGUGGCGAAGGCGACUCUCUGGUCUGUAAAUGACGCUGAGGCGCGAAAGCGUGGGGAGCAAACAGG